rnacentral:rRNA from 1 species
GUGGGGAAUUUUGGACAAUGGGCGAAGGCCUGAUCCGCCAUUCCGCGUGCAGGACGAAGGCCUUCGGGUUGUAAACUGCUUUUGUACGGAACGAAAAGGCUCUGGCUAAUACCUGGGGCUCAUGACGGUACCGUAAGAAUAAGCACCGGCUAACUUCGUGCCAGCAGCCGCGGUAAU